ensembl:misc_RNA Metazoa_SRP Metazoan signal recognition particle RNA
GCCUGGUGUGGUAGACCAUGCCUGUAAUCCCUGCUCCUGGAGAGGCUGAGGUCAGUGGAUUACUUGGGCUCAGGAGUUUUGGACUGCAGUUAGGCUAAAGUUGAUCAAGUGUCUGCACAAAGUCUGAUACCAAUAUGGUGAGUCCCUCUGGAAGCAAGAGGCCUCCAGGCCACCUAAAGAGGGGCAAACCCAUUCAGGUUAGAAAUGGAGCAGGUCAAAGCUCCCCUGCCAAUUAAUAGUUGGAUUGGGCCUGAGAGUAGCCACUCAACUUCUGGCCUAUAUGCAAGAUAGGGAGACCUAGUCUCCA